CAGGACCUUGCGCAGCUCCGCGCGUUUCCCAUGACUCACCUCAGUAACUUAUCACCAGCAUUACUCACCCCAAUAAUUAGGAGGAAGGAAGGCUUACAUAAAUAGCUCCUUGAA